CUGCAUGUAGGUACAGAUUUGGGGGAAAGCAGUGCCAUGGAAUAUGGGAAGCCCAUUACCGAAUCCGAAAUCUUUGUUUAAGUAAUAAUUUUUAAAGUAUUUACCUACCAAUCUGGCAACCAGCAUUGUCGUGACCAGUAUAUGGCGGUGUUGAUUUCGGUUAAAUAUCAGGUAGUUAUUUUUAGCUACAAAAAAUGGCAAAAUCGACAUUCUUAUUCUAAUUAAAAAUACAGAAAUAUUUACAUACAUACUGUUUUAAAGUCCUAUUUAAAAUCCCGUUUUCCGAUAAACGACACACACGCGCACAAACACGCACGCACGCACGCACACACACACACACACACACACACACACACACACACACACACACACACACACACAGGUGCCGCGAGGAAUGUAGGAAUAGGAUGCAGGUGCGCUUGGACAGGAGGACUGCACCGGAGAAGAAAUAAACACAGUGGUGAAGGGAAAAGGCGCGUGUGACGAUGGCCGGUGCCCGGAGGGGGCUCGUGGCUCCUCAAAACACUUUUCUGGAGAAUAUAGUGAGAAGAUCAAAACGCUCUGAUGCAGAUGCCACGUGCGCUCUCCUGUUCACUGAUCUGGGAUCUGUCAUGAGGCGGAGCACGGCUGUCACUUGGCUAUGAGGUUCUUUUGAAGAUGCAGACAGAGGAAGUAAAACGCUGCUGGAGCUCAUGUGGAUAUCGCGCCUGUACAAGAUCUCCUCAAACGUUAUCUUCUCAAACUUCAUUGUUUAAAAUGUCCUUCUAAAUCACACAAGACUGGGUUGGAAUUGUUUUUAUGAAAACUGUGUUUGCACCAUCAAAACCCGAAGUUCACUCAAAUCACACCUUACAAGAAUACACAACAGAAGCAGAAGACGUCGAGAAAAUUUGACAUUUUUGUGUGACGUGUGAUUUUAACAAGUUUUGUACAGAAACCCAAUUCUUUGCUCACCUUGGAAGACAUCUACAAAAUAAAGAAACUGUCCUUUGCCCAUUCCAUAGAUGGUCCUAUCCUAUCUUUUGCUCAUUUGACUUUCCAUUUAGAAACGGGUAUUAAAAAACAAAAAAGAGCGGCUAUUUGAUUUUCGUUUUAAAAUACAAAAAUUACAACUGAAAUACAACGUGUUUUUCUUUUUCAUGGUCAAAAACGGAUGAGUAAAAUUUUAAAAAUGGUUUGAAUUUCAUUUUAUACUUCGAAUAACAAAAAUAUAAAAAAAAAAACCACAAAAAAGAAACGAAAAAAGGCCCAUUUUUUAUAUUCCGUGGUCAUUUACAUGACAAGAGCGCCAAAUUUGAGAUGACAAGAGUUCCAAAAUUAAGGCCAAUGUUGCUUUAGCCCAGACUAAAAUGUCUUUGGAACCGUACUCAGUUAUGACAUUAGAUAUGGCAAAACAAGGCCUGUCAUCUGCAGAAAUCUCUGCGUGGAUAUCACACGAAAGUGGGGGAGCAAGAGGAUGUUCUGCAAGAAAUGUGAGGAGAUUUUGUGCUGAAAAUGGCUUAAGUUUGAUGGGACUCCCCGACGUGCAUUUGGAGUUAGAAGUGGCAAAAGCUAUAACCGAGGUAUGUACUUGCUAUAUCUCCCCGUUUUUAGUGUGUGUGUGUGUGUGUGUGUGUGUGUGUGUGUGUGUGUGUGUGUGUGUGUGUGUGUGUGUGUGUGUGUGUGAAAGAAAGAGUGUGAGAACUAACAUGUAAGCCUAUAUGCACACACAUAUGUCCUGCAUCUGCAAAGGGUCUUCAACUGGCAUCUUUUAUGCCUGCUUAUUACAAAUAGUAAAUAAAUCACACUAAAUAGCCUCAGCCUACCAUUAUUUGUAAGAGAGCUGAGAGAGCUGUUUUAAAAAUUGUGUGGAACAAGGAUUUAUCUUUGCUUCAACAAUCUGAUACAAAAUCUGUUUGCUCUCUCGAUACUGCCAGUGUGUCAACAUCGUCCUCCCAGAGCCCUUCAACCGUUGUUCAGAGCUCUAUGAGAAGUACAUUGCGGUGGCCGUCACCUUUUCCAAUUCCUACUUUCUAUCAUGAUGUUGAGUUUAGGCUUUGCAAAGCAAAUGAGGUUUAUGAACAAACAAACAAGGCUUUAAGUGUACCGAGAGAAAUUAAACCACACAUCUUUGAGAAAAUUGCAGAGGCAAUAUUUGCUCUUAAAGCUCACUCACUUGUGUUGAAGCAUCCCCGCCUUACAGAGCCAGGUACGGGGAAAGGAUUUGAUGGGUGGAAAAUGAGCCUAAAAUACAAACUAGGCAAUUACAGGUCAAAACUACGAUCAGCUGGUUGCCAUGAAAAAGAGGACGAGGAGAUGGUGAAGACCAGAGAAAGUCUCUUAAAAGGGCCAAACGAGGAGAGAUUAAUUAUUUACCGGAUCAUCCUACAGGCCAGUCUGAUGAUACUCUGGAGGAGGAAAGACUCAUACUGGUAGAGGAACUAAAGAAGAGGAAUAAAAAUGAGACCCUCAUCAGUCGGAAAAUGAGCCUGACAUUUUCACUUCGGCGAAAAGAGAUUGUUUAAGUGGUGCCAAUGGUGUCUGAGGUGCUGGAACAAUGGCCUGCCCUGUUUAUUCCAAAUGAGAUUGGUUAUGAGUUCAAACGCAUUACCAAUGUGGAUCUCCUUGAUACAUUCAGAUCAUCUUUACACCAACAUCACCACAACUUCUGAAGUUGUACAGAGCAAGACAGGGGACUUUUGGAAAAGACAUGGAAGAUCAUCUUAACAGGCUUGAUCAACAGACCUCAAAUAUCGUAAAUCAUCGAAAGCUAGCAGUUCUGGAAGGUCUCCCUUUGUUUCUCCGUGAAGAUCCUUCUGCACUUUUCAGAAAAUAUCUGGACACAUCACCAGCAGACAGACAGACCAGAGGGAUAAAAAUGGCAUUGCAGAUCUUUUCAAAGUUUGCUGUUGUUUUGGAGGAGGCAAUUGUUCUGAAAGACAUUUCAGACCUUCCAUCUGCUGUGUCAUACCUGUUUGGCCUUGUCUUUGCCCUGGAUUUUGAAUACCCCAAAGAACUCAAAUAUACGUUUGAAGUGAUUGAGAAGGUGAUUCUGGAAAUGUGCCCUCACUGCUCUGUAAGAGUACAGUCCUUUAAAACAAAACUCUUACUGUGAAAGUUGAAAUCAUGUCAGAGUCUGAAAAUCUUUGAAGUUGAUCUUAAUGUUAAAAUGUGAAAGGUUGUUGAACUGUGGAUUUGUUAAUAUGUUCGUAGAUGUUUUAAGACUGUUUAAUGGCAUUAUUAUUUUAUAGUUUUUUGGUGUUAUGCACACUUUAUGUUAUACACACAAGAGUAUUAUUACUGAGAAUUGUUAAAGACAUGUUAAAAGGUUAAAGGUGAUACAUUUUUUCUUUAGUUUUUAUGUUUCUAAUUAUUAUUAUUAUUGAUUUUGCCAUUUUCCAGGGUUUCUUUAUUUUUAUUAUAUUGUCUGUCAUUUAUAUAUUUAUUUUUAUUUUUUUUCUGUUAGGAAGUAUGACUAUUUGACCUUGUUUGUAUUUCUUUGAACAUUCAGAAAAAUAAACAAAACUUAAAGCAUG